GCACCGGCUAACUCCGUGCCAGCAGCCGCGGUAAUACGGAGGGUGUGAGCGUUAAUCGGAAUUACUGGGCGUAAAGCGCAUGCAGGCGGCCUGUUAAGUCAGAUGUGAAAGACCCGGGGCGUUAACCUCGGAAUUGCAUUUGAAACUAGGCAGGCGUAGAGUCUUGUAGGAGGGGGGGUAGGAAUUUACUAGGUGUAGCGGUGAAAUAGCGUAGAGAUCUGAAGGAAUAACCAGUGGCGAAGGCGGCCCCCUGGACAAAGACUGACGCUCAGAUGCGAAAGCGUGGGGAGCAAACAGGAUUAGAUACCCUGGUAG
rnacentral:rRNA from 1 species